AGUCAUUCAUAUUUCCAUCUAGAUUCACAUUUAGAGGACUAUACAGACUCUGUAUGCCUUUUAAAUCUACUUUCUAAUAGAGGAAGUCAUUGGCUGAACCUCAAGAGAAGAAUUAUCCAGAGAACAUUGUCAAGGAUGACACCGAAGGAGGGGAUAUGGCUGAGGAGAAGGGAUCACAAAAGAGUCAUUGCACAGUGCCAAGAAGCACAAAGUUAACCUGCACACUGCCUAGGAGCACAAGGUCAAGGAGACCAACCAAUCCCAGUGGAAUUGUAAUUUUAGGAUAAGAAACUUGCUACCUCCCUGAAUCAAGAAAGUGAACUGUUUGGAGAAGGUGCCAUAAAGAAGCCUGCAGAAACCACACAUUGCAUCAAAAGAUCCAGGAUGAACUUUGGGAUGUAGUGAAUUGAGCUGUGGGGGUGUUGAAUGCAUUUAUUUUGAAUGUACACUCCUGUGUCAAAGGAGACUUCCCCCUUACUGCCUUUUUGUCAAUGAGCUUAGCAAUCAUUGGUUUUGUUCUUUUUCUCUUUUAUUUCUCUCUUAUACUUUCCCCUUAGAAACUGCAAUAUUGUAUGUACCUCUAGUUAAAGAUCUUUAGAAAUAUAAGUUGGUUAUGUGUAUUGAUUCAUUGGGGAAACUAGGCAUGUAAAUCUGGGAUAUUUCUACAUGGUCAUUUCCCAAUGGAAUCACUUGGGAUUGUGUAAUUAGAAUUUGCUCCCCAGGACUCUCUUUCACAGCAUCCCAUUUGCAUAUUUAUGCUAACAUACUAACAUAGGGAAGAUAUAACUUUUGUGCAGCUCCUCCCUCUCUCUCUUUUCCCAGGAAUAUAGUUUAUGGAGUUUUGGGGAGAGCCAGGCAGGAGAUGUUUACUCAUGUGGUUUUUUUUUAAAGUUUUAUUUUGUUCUUUUAUUUCUUCUACUUCAAGUGAUUAUUAAUAAAUAUUA
rnacentral:lncRNA from 1 species